rnacentral:rRNA from 1 species
GAUGAACGCUAGCGGCAGGCUUAACACAUGCAAGUCGAGGGGUAACAGGGAUUGCUUGCAAUCCGCUGACGACCGGCGAACGGGUGCGUAACGCGUAUGCAACCUACCUUUUACUGGGGGAUAGUCAAGAGAAAUUUUGAAUAAUACCCCAUACGAUCAUUUAUUUGCAUAAAUAGAUGAAGAAAACUCCGGUGGUAAAAGAUGGGCAUGCGUCCUAUUAGUUUGUUGGUGAGGUAACGGCUCACCAAGACUACGAUAGGUAGGGGUCCUGAGAGGGAGACCCCCCACACUGGUACUGAGACACGGACCAGACUCCUACGGGAGGCAGCAGUGAGGAAUAUUGGACAAUGGAGGCAACUCUGAUCCAGCCAUGCCGCGUGCAGGAAGACGGCCCUAUGGGUUGUAAACUGCUUUUAUACAGGAAGAAACGUCAGUACGUGUACUGACCUGACGGUACUGUAAGAAUAAGGAUCGGCUAACUCCG